CUCGUGGAAACCCCCAUUCCUUCUCUUCCAAAUCAGAAUUUGUCUAAGAGCCCUAAUCUCCAAUACCGCCUACAUCUUGGUCAUGCGAAAUCGGGUGAUCAGUCUACCUCUCGAUUCUUGUAUGUGAUAUAAUUACAUUAUGAAACUGGACAACACCGAGGGUUUCAAAUUGGUCAUCAACAAAAUGCCCAUGUCUCUGACACCACAAGUAACAAUUCACUUUUCCAGUUGCUACUCUUUUUGUGGAAGAUUAUGUUAAAAAAUUGCAAAGUGAGGUGUUCAAGUCAUGCCAUAUGGAUUCUGUUAAGAGAAAUCAUCACCGGAAUCUGCUGGACAGUAAGUUAUCUAAAUCUUUGAAAUAAUAUGUGGUUGAUUUAUAUUUGCUAAGUUUAAAAAUGUAUUAGACAUUUGGGUUUGUCUUCUAAGGGCUUGUUGUUAACAAUCCGAGCUACGCUAUGCUAGUGUCGAUAUAUCUUAAUCCUCUGUAAUCCUAGCUCAUUUUCUAUUAAGAAAUAUUGUAUCUCAUUUUUAUUUUGUU